UGCUGGUUAGUUGAAGCAUCAGAUGGGUGCGACCAGAAGGUACAUAGAAUCACAGAAUGGUUUGGGUUGGAAGGGAUCUUAAUGAUCUCAUUCUAAACCCCUGCCACAGGCAAGUACAACACACUUUGCAAGGAAGAGACUUCUUGGCUGCAGUGCAGCUGUUUGAGGAUGGUGCAGGGAGUGGGAGGGCUUCUGACCCUUAUCCCUGGGGAUAUAAGAAGCAGAAAUGGCAUUCAGGAUGGUAGGGUGGGAGCUUGCUUGGCAGGGGGGCUCCUGGCGCCUGCACAUUCAAUCCUGAUUAGUUUCGGGAUGGGAUGCUAAGCAAACCUAAUAUGGGGGAUGGCAAAUCCUAUACCCUUUGCCAAAGCAGGCAAGGCAAAUGAAGCUGUCAUGCUUUGCAUUUUCUCCUUUCUCCUCCAAGAGGUAGAUGUGCCUUUAGGGGAGCUGUCUUUCCUCUGCAGUGGUUUCAGCUGCUGUUGUUAGACUUACAGCUGAUGCCCCUUGGCCAAUCAUGCAUUGCUGAUCACUAUUCAAGGUAAGAGACAAAGGAGAGAGCUUAGCAGUCAAGAGGAUACUGAUGAGAGGGGAAAUUGCUUAUUUGAAAGGCUUUUUAAGCACUCUUUCUUGACAACAGAGUUUAUCACUCUCCUUUUAUCCCUCUGUAUAGAGUCAGACACUGUCCAUUAUGAAGAGCUCUUGAGAAACCCCACUCUCCUCUUUGUUAAUCUCUCUUCUAGCUUGUGUAUGCCAACGACAGGGGACUGAGGCAUCUGCAUGCUCGGGUGCUGUGUUUGCGGAGUGCUUGUGAUGCUUCAGUGUGUGCCCCUUGACACAUCACCAAGGCAUCUGAAGAGGCAAGAUCAGCAGAGUAUAUCAGCACAGCUGCUCGGAAGGCAUCAGGGUGGAUAUCGGCAGGGAUGUCAAACUGAGCAGCUGGGGGUGAAGACACUUCUCUUGCAUGAGCCCAGCCUGCUCCUGCCUGAAGUACACCCCAUAGAGACAGCUUUGGUGGUUGGGACUGGCCUGAAGAGCAUGAGGUAGGACAGUGUUCCUUCUUCUGCACUGCAAAUACUCCUCCUCGCUUCUUUGUGUUGCAGCCCCUUCAGCAAAGACUUGGGCACAGAACCCAGAAUCCUUGUGUUUGAGACUAUCCCUUUUGGGAAUGACAUAAGCAAAAUUCCUCAUCUCACCCUUAGGAAGCAGCUGGUGUGGACUGUGCUGAGCAAAACAACACCGCAUAACCAGCGAGCACUGCUGAGCACGAUUCACAGCCAAUGCUUUUACAACCUGCUUCUUGUUUUGGAACAGCACCUAAUUGGUUUUGAAGCACUGCAAAACUAGGUCAAUUUGCCAGUGGGCUUUGUAAGAGUCUUUAGCUAAAUCUCUAGACUUUAGCUAGAUGUUAAUUUGAGCCAGACUUAGGAAAAAUAUAUAUUAAUAUACCCACAGUCUCACGUGAGAAACUUGUAGGCAACGAUUUGGGAUUCAGAGCCAUCCUCCUAUUCCUAAGACUAAAUUCAAAGCCACUGUUUAAAAGCAAGCUUGCACAUGCGGAUGUCCUGAUCUUUAAUUAGGCAAAACUCCCACUGACAUCAAUAGGAGGUUGACUUGAAUAAGAACUGCAGGAUCAGGUCCAUAAUUUGAUACCUGGGAUUUGAUUAAGCAGCUAAAUUACUAGAACACUUUCCCCAGGAGUAUAAUUGCCUAAUUAAUUUUGAAAAUAGCUAAGUUCAGCACUGACUAUGGUGCACCUCUUGCCACAUGAAAUGGAUGCUGUUUAAGCCAAGUUGAUGGAGCUAUUUGCAAGGGCCCACAGAGUUUAUUUUGCAGUUAAGUAGUUCUGUUUAUUUAAAGUUCAAAAUUAGCCCCCAUUGUGUUAAAAACGUGGUGUUUCAGAAAAUAUACUCUUGUGAUAGACUUCCCUUGUAGUCUGGUUUGGCUGUUAGCAUUGCAAAUGUAUUUUAAAGAGUAGUGCUCUACUGCGUCCUAAUUCUUGA